UACGAAGGGGGCUAGCGUUGAUCGGAUUGACUGGGCGUAAAGGGCGCGUAGGCGGAUAGUACAGUCAGGCGUGAAAUUCCUGGGCUCAACCUGGGGGCUGCGUUUGAUACGUGUUGUCUGGAGUUCGGAAGAGGGUCGUGGAAUUCCCAGUGUAGAGGUGAAAUUCGUAGAUAUUGGGAAGAACACCGGUGGCGAAGGCGGCGACCUGGUCCGAUACUGACGCUGAGGCGCGAAAGCGUGGGGAGCAAACAGG
rnacentral:rRNA from 1 species